CUUCAUUAUUCAAUACAUGUACUAAUUGUUAGGUUCUCGUUACAGGGUUCGUUGGGUCAGGAGUCGACAUCUCAAGAUGCUCUUUGUGUUGGCAAGACAAAUUCAAAACAAAAAAGAGUAUAUAGCGAUAGUCGUAGUCAACAACUUGGUACCAUUGGGCGGCAGAAUAAUGUGAUGAGCAAGGAAAACUUUCUCUAUGACAUGGAGAUGCAUCCAUCAAACAAACGUCCUUCUAAGGAUAAGGUAUAUAUGCUCAUUUAUAU